GUCUAUAGCCAUGCCACCCUGAACGUGCCUAAUCUUAUCUGAUCUUGGAAGCUAAGCAGGUUUGGGUCUGGUUAGUACUUGGAUAGUACUUCAUAGGAGACCACCUAUGAAGAAUACCCGGUGCUGUAGUGU
ensembl:rRNA 5S_rRNA 5S ribosomal RNA